rnacentral:rRNA from 1 species
ACGGAAGGCAGCAGUGGGGGAUAUUGCACAAUGGGGGAAACCCUGAUGCAGCGACGCCGCGUGAGUGAUGAAGUAUUUCGGUAUGUAAAGCUCUAUCAGCAGGGAAGAUAAUGACGGUACCUGACUAAGAAGCACCGGCUAAAUACGUGCCAGCAGCCGCGGUAAUACGUAUGGUGCAAGCGUUAUCCGGAUUUACUGGGUGUAAAGGGAGCGUAGGCGGCAUGGCAAGUCUGAUGUGAAAACCCAGAGCUCAACUCUGGGAUUGCAUUGGAAACUGUCAAGCUAGAGUGUCGGAGGGGUAAGUGGAAUUCCCAGUGUAGCGGUGAAAUGCGUAGAUAUUGGGAGGAACACCAGUGGCGAAGGCGGCUUACUGGACGAUUACUGACGCUGAGGCUCGAAAGCGUGGGGAGCAAACAGGAUUAGAUACCCUGGUA